rnacentral:rRNA from 1 species
GGGGAAUUGUUCGCAAUGGGCGCAAGCCUGACGACGCAACGCCGCGUGGAGGACGAAGACCUUCGGGUCGUAAACUCCUUUCGAUCGAGACGAAUGGCCUUCGGGUGAACAAUCCGGAGGAAUGACGGUACCGAGAGAAGAAGCCCCGGCUAACUCCGUGCCAGCAGCCGCGGUAAUACGGGGGGGGCAAGCGUUGUUCGGAAUUAUUGGGCGUAAAGAGCUCGUAGGCGGUUUGUUGCGUCGGCUGUGAAAUCCCGAGGCUCAACCUCGGGUCUGCAGUCGAUACGAGCAAACUAGAGUGUUGCAGGGGAGACUGGAAUUCCUGGUGUAGCGGUGAAAUGCGCAGAUAUCAGGAGGAACACCGGUGGCGAAGGCGGGUCUCUGGGCAACAACUGACGCUGAGGAGCGAAAGCGUGGGGAGCGAAC